GACGUAGGGGGCGAGCGUUGUCCGGAAUUAUUGGGCGUAAAGGGCUCCUAGGCGGUUCAGUAAGUCGACUGUGAAAAUCCAAGGCUCAACCUUGGGACGCCAGUCGAUACUGCUGUGACUCGAGUUCGGUAGAGGAGUUUGGAAUUCCUGGUGUAGCGGUGAAAUGCGCAGAUAUCAGGAGGAACACCGGUGGCGAAGGCGGCCUUCUGGGCCUUACCUGACGCUGAGGUACGAAAGCAUGGGGAGCAAACAGG
rnacentral:misc_RNA from 1 species